GACGAACGCUGGCGGCGUGCUUAACACAUGCAAGUCGAGCGAGCGGCGGACGGGUGAGUAAUGUCUGGGAAACUGCCUGAUGGAGGGGGAUAACUACUGGAAACGGUAGCUAAUACCGCAUACCCUCAGAUGUGCCCAGAUGGGAUUAGCUAGUAGGUGGGGUAAUGGCUCACCUAGGCGACGAUCCCUAGCUGGUCUGAGAGGAUGACCAGCCACACGGGAACUGAGACACGGUCCAGACUCCUACGGGAGGCAGCAGUGGGGAAGAUUGCACAAUGGGCGCAAGCCUGAUGCAGCCAUGCCGCGUGUGUGAAGAAGGCCGUCGGGUUGUAAAGCACUUUCAGCGAGGAGGCGUUACUCGCAGAAGAAGCACCGGCUAACUACGUGCCAGCAGCCGCGGUAAUAC
rnacentral:rRNA from 1 species